rnacentral:snoRNA from 1 species
CACUUGAUCUAAUCAGUUUAUAUGAUGACUCUGAGUGCAUUUGGCUCGAGACUUUCUGUCGGUGUGGAAAAAACCAAGCUACCUUACUAUUUUUUGUCUGAUU